rnacentral:rRNA from 1 species
UACGGAGGAUGCAAGCGUUAUCCGGAUUUAUUGGGUUUAAAGGGUGCGUAGGUUGUUGUAUAAGUCAGCGGUAAAAAUUCCGGGCUCAACCCGGUCCCGCCGUUGAAACUGUAUAGCUUGAGUCGGAUUGAGGUAAACGGAAUGCGCGGUGUAGCGGUGAAAUGCAUAGAUAUCACGCAGAACUCCAAUUGCGAAGGCAGUUUACCAAAUCCUCACUGACACUGAAGCACGAAAGUGUGGGUAUCGAACAGG